GCAGAAGCACGGUAGCCCGUGAGACGUACAUGACAAGGUUGCGCAUGAAAUAUAGUGUAUUGCAAAUCGUUGGUAGGAGCAGGGCGCACAUCAAGAGCAGAAUCGAGUCCCGCGAUGAGGCUGUCUCGCUGCAAACUGCACUUCGGCCUGCGUGCAGCGAUUAACCAGCAAGGGCCCGGACGCAGGAGCUCGGUUUCUCCAACUCGGCACUACAAGCGAUCACUUGCAGGCAGAUGUAGGGGCGUGGAUGCUUUUCAUGCAAAGUCGGGGCUUGCCUUUGGGAGCGCGUUGGUGAAUCCCUUCCCAGCGGAUGCAGCCGCAACACAAGGCAGCGCCCUGAGCCAGCGCCGAGCGUCGAACUCCGACGUGCAUCUUCCGGGGACAGACGUAACGCGUGAAGCGCAUACCGCGGAUCAUGCGCGCCGGUUACGGUGGUUGUCGCCCCGGGCCUCCUGUCAGACGUUGCUAGUGAUCCGUCUCGAGCGCGGGAAUGCUCGCAUCGAGCUCCGAUGACCGACAGAGCAGAAAUCGGACUACCCAGGGUCGAUCGAUCCAGCAUGCUACGCUCGCUCUCCGAGCACAAUCAGUCCGAACUGGUGCACCAGGGAGUCGGGGCAGCGCGGCCCCGUCGUCGCUGUGCAAGGCGCGAGCCACUCUAUCGGUAUCCACUAUGCAAGAACGUUGCGCUAAACGAUUACAGGUAACGACAGCUGAGAAAUGCGAGGAAACCAGAAUGCCCCCUGAGCACCAUGGCCGUACUGCGUCGGGCGUCGAACGUUGCGCAUACCGCAAAAUCAAGUCGUAAACUUAUCGACGCCCUUUCGAGUCUCCCGAGCGCUCUGGAUCCACGUAUCCAGGGAAUAUUGCCGGUGUGCGACUCAAGAGGUUCGACACAAGCCCCCAGCAUCCUGAGCCGAGCCGAGCCGAGCCGAGCCUGCUGGCUACAGCGCAUGCCCAUGAAAUGCGCCCAGCUAGGAAACACUGCUGCUAAGCGAACACUGAAGCGCACCGACGCUGGGCGUGCAUGCUCGUUUAUAGACUCGGUCUUGUGGAAUCAUAAAACACCAUGCCCGUUCAAAGAUCGCCGAGGGACAUUGCUUCUUUGUAAAUAUGCGCUGCUCUAGCGUUUCUGGGCUGACUACUGAGCCAGUACCACGUCAAUGGCGUGUUACAGGCGAGAAUCCAACGCCCUCUCUUCUGAGCACUGAUUUUCCAUCACAAGCCCUGCGCAUUCCAGCGCAGAAAUCUACAAUACGCACCCAACAAUCCACGUGAAUGUCCGUUCGGUACCAAGCUGCUCGAUGCUCUGGAAGCACGACAUGUUUUAAAAUGUUGGUUCAGGCGUUCAAAUCUCAGUGCAGAAAGUGCUCGCGCAUGUUGUUGAUGCUGGUGGAAUCGCACCAGAGCACGCGAAUCACGAGCGACGGUUGCGCUGUCUGAGGUUCGCUCAGCGCACCCUGGACACCAUCUCAUGCAUGCGUCUGUGUUUCCUGCUCUUCUUCUCUACAAGUCUCUGCGUGCACCUGUGCUCCUGAGGCGUGUAUGUCGUCCUGAACGCCUCCAUGGGUAUCGCACAGAUUCGAUUCCUGCACUCGGUGUAUGCUCUCGUGGCGAGUGCACGCGUGCAGCUCCAGCGCACCAUAGCCCGUCCAGAGCCAUAAGACACCCCCGGAGGACGCCACUUGUCCGUCAAUUCCUUCUACAACGAAUUGGAGAGCACCGCGGAUGCACACUUGUUGCCUCUGGACAACGGAUACCGUCGGUGACGCCAGCGCCGUCUCAUGAACUCCUGCCAGCCACCAUUCGCAUGAGCUAUUUGCAGACUCUAGUACAUUCUGAAAUGCGGCGUCCAAAAUAUGCGAGUUGCUCGAAAUGGGGCCCGGCACCUUCAUUCCAUUUCCUGGCAUUACUCAUGGUAUCAAUCAUGCCCGACUCCCGAUAAUAUCGAUGCGUGGAUCCAUCAGAAAGCAAUGUUUCUUCAGUGUCGAGCAUCAGUUGUUUGAUGAAUGGUCCAUCGGAAAGCUUUCGAGGAAUGUGGGUGCCUUACAGCCCCGUGUCGGGCACUCGUCCAGACAUUUGCAUGACGAGGUGCGUCAAGUUGAGAGAACCGAGGCGAAACUGCCUCGACGAAAACGCUACGCGAUCCGUCAUGACCUCCGGCAUCUCACGUUCUGGAGGAUUCUCCCGGUUGACGUUUCUGAGCAGGUAGUUCUUGACAACGGUUGCAGACGGAUCAUCCUACUACCAUAAUUUUCCGUUCCCGUCACUCCUCGUUCUCUUUAGGGAAGGAUCCAUGCUUUUCUUGUAAAGCAA